rnacentral:rRNA from 1 species
GGGCGGGGGCACGGGGGGACUCCUACGGGAGGCAGCAGUGGGGAAUCUUGCGCAAUGGGCGAAAGCCUGCGCAGCGAUGCCGCGUGCGGGAAGACGGCCUUCGGGUUGUAAACCGCUUUCAGCAGGGACGAAAUUGACGGUACCUGCAAAGAAGCUCCGGCCAACUACGUGCCAGCAGCCGCGGUAAGACGUAGGGGGCGAGCGUUGUCCGGAAUUAUUGGGCGUAAGGGCUCCUAGGCGGUUCAGUAAGUCGACUGUGAAAAUCCAAGGCUCAACCUUGGGACGCCAGUCGAUACUGCUGUGACUGAGUUCGGUAGAGGAGUGUGGAAUUCCUGGUGUAGCGGUGAAAUGCGCAGAUAUCAGGAGGAACACCAACGGCGAAGGCGCACUCUGGGCCGAUACUGACGCUGAAGAGCGAAAGCGUGGGGAGCAAACAGGAUUAGAUACCCUGGUAGUCCACGCCGAAACGUUGGGCACUAGGUGUGGGGUCUUAUCAACGGAUUCCGUGCCGCAGCUAACGCAUUAAGUGCCCCGCCUGGGGAGACGGCCGCAAGGCUAAAACUCAAAGGAAUUGACGG